UAUUUAGUUUGAGUAUAUCCCAUGCAACAUUUGGGAUAUACUUAUACUAAAA
rnacentral:pre_miRNA from 1 species